rnacentral:rRNA from 1 species
GAUGAACGCUGGCGGCGCGCCUAACACAUGCAAGUCGAACGAUUAAAGCACCUUCGGGUGUGUAUAAAGUGGCGAACGGCUGAGUAACACGUGGGCAACCUGCCCCUUUCAUUGGGAUAGCCACGGGAAACCGUGGAUAAUACCGAAUACUUCGAGACUUCCGCAUGGAAGACUCGAGAAAGCUCCGGCGGAGAGGGAUGGGCCCGCGGCCUGUUAGCUUGUUGGUGGGGUGACGGCCUACCAAGGCAAUGAUGGGUAGCUGGGUUGAGAGACCGACCAGCCAGAUUGGGACUGAGACACGGCCCAGACUCCUACGGGAGGCAGCAGUGGGGAAUCUUGCACAAUGGGCGAAAGCCUGAUGCAGCGACGCCGCGUGCGGGAUGAAGGCCUUCGGGUUGUAAACCGCUUUCAGCAGGGACGAGGCGAAAGUGACGGUACCUGCAGAAGAAGCCCCGGCUAACUACGUG